rnacentral:rRNA from 1 species
GGAUUGCUUUCGGGGUCCGAGCGGCGACGGGUGAGUAACACGUGAGCAACCUGCCCCUGACUCUGGGAUAAGCGGUGGAAACGCCGUCUAAUACCGGAUACGACCUUCCGCCUCAUGGUGGAGGGUGGAAAGUUUUUUCGGUCAGGGAUGGGCUCGCGGCCUAUCAGCUUGUUGGUGGGGUAACGGCCUACCAAGGCGAUUACGGGUAGCCGGCCUGAGAGGGCGACCGGCCACACUGGGACUGAGACACGGCCCAGACUCCUGCGGGAGGCAGCAGUGGGGAAUAUUGCGCAAUGGGCGAAAGCCUGACGCAGCGACGCCGCGUGGGGGAUGACGGCCUUCGGGUUGUAAACCUCUUUUACCACCAACGCAGGCUCCGGGUUCUCUCGGGGUUGACGGUAGGUGGGGAAUAAGGACCGGCUAACUACGUGCCAGCAGCCGCGGUAAUACGUAGGGUCCGAGCGUUGUCCGGAAUUAUUGGGCGUAAAGAGCUCGUAGGCGGCGUGUCGCGUCUGCUGUGAAAGACCGGGGCUUAACUCCGGUUCUGCAGUGGAUACGGGCAUGCUAGAGGUAGGUAGGGGAGACUGGAAUUCCUGGUGUAGCGGUGAAAUGCGCAGAUAUCAGGAGGAACACCGGUGGCGAAGGCGGGUCUCUGGGCCUUACCUGACGCUGAGGAGCGAAAGCAUGGGGAGCGAACAGGAUUAGAUACCCUGGUAGUCCAUGCCGUAACGUUGGGCGCUAGGUGUGGGGACUUUCCACGGUUUCCGCGCCGUAGCUAACGCAUUAAGCGCCCCGCCUGGGGAGUACGGCCGCAAGGCUAAAACUCAAAGGAAUUUGACGGGGGCCCGCACAAGCGGCGGAGCAUGUUUGCUUAAUUUCGACGCACGCGAAGGAUCUUUACGAGAUUUGACUAUCACCCCCGGGUGGAACCAUGGA